GUCUUUGUAGUAUAUAAAAUACCCUGGUCUUGUAAACCAAAGAUGGAGAAUAACCACCCUCCCUAAGACU
rnacentral:tRNA from 1 species